rnacentral:rRNA from 1 species
CCUUGAGAGUCUCCUGAAGGAACGUUGAAGACGACGACGUUGAUAGGCCGGGUGUGUAAGCGCAGCGAUGCGUUGAGCUAACCGGUACUAAUGAACCGUGAGGCUUAACCUUAC